rnacentral:rRNA from 1 species
AGUGAACGCUGGCGGCGUGCUUAACACAUGCAAGUCGAACGAGAACGGAAUAUAGCUUGCUAUUUUUGUCAGCUAAGUGGCGCACGGGUGAGUAAUGUAUAGAUAACCUGCCCUUAAGAAAGGAAUAACAGUUGGAAACGACUGCUAAUGCCCUAUAUGCCUUUAAUACAUAAGUAUGCAAGGGAAACGCUUUAGUGCUUAAGGAUGGGGCUGUAUGGUAUCAGCUUGUUGGUGAGGUAAUGGCUCACCAAGGCUACGACGCCUAACUGGUUUGAGAGGAUGAUCAGACACACUGGAACUGAGACACGGUCCAGACUACUACGGGAGGCAGCAGUGGGGAAUAUUGCACAAUGGACGAAAGUCUGAUGCAGCAACGCCGCGUGGAGGAUGACACAUUUCGGUGCGUAAACUCCUUUUAUAUAGGAAGAUAAUGACGGUACUAUAUGAAUAAGCACCGGCUAACUCCGUGCCAGCAGCCGCCGUAA